ensembl:lncRNA
GGAGGGAAAGAGGGGCUUCGCAGGUGAGGUGGCACCGAAAGGGCUGCUUAGGGGACCCGAAGGGUAAGGCCUGUCUAACUCCUAAUGUGUCUGCCCUCAUUUGUCACAGUUCAAGUGCCUGACAUCUCUGAGACAAUCCCCCUCUGAAAAGAAAGGCCUGUGAGGGGGACACUGGUGAGCAUCUCUGGAGAUUUCCCUCCUUCCCAGGGAUCCCUGCGCUCAUCUUCCUCUCAGCAUCCAGGAAGGGCAGAAGGCCCGCUUUUCAGGCUUGGGGCUGCCACCCCCCAGAGCUGUCAACCAAGGGGUUGUCUCCAGAAGAGGCAGAAAGCAGAUGAGACAGGGAAAGGGUUGAGGGGGCCAUUUAGAGUCAAGCCGGGUUAAUCCUCCUUCUUUAAGACUGAUGCCAAAUCAGAGGUUCCCCAAGAUUCUCAGGCAUGGAGACCCCACCAGCCUGAGCUCACAUACUCACUUUACACUGACCCUCACACUCACACUCCUCACACUCACUUGACGUUCUGGAGGGACAUCUGAGAGGAAUGGAUGGUCUAUUACAUGUGAAAGUUGUACACAGAGUAACUACUUCACUUUUACUAUGCAGACCACCCGGAUUUUAAUGAAAAGUUGGGAAGGGGCUUAGUUUUUCUGGUUUUUCUUGUUCUCUCUCUCUUCUAAUUUCUUGGGUGAUUUUUCCAAAGGUGACUUUUUCUUAAGAUACUUUUUCUUAAGCGAAGGGCUUAAAGUCAAAUAAUGAGACACAUUUCUCACUUAGAUUAUGGAGAGCUAGCCUACGUGUAAUUUGCUUUCACAAUUUCCUCCACUUGCUGACUGCCAUGACCAAGCACUUCUUAAAUGUUUAACAGCAGCAGGGGUCCCUGCAGGGAGGCUCUGGAGUUUUGUCCCUGCUGGAGGAUCCUAUCUAUGUCAAUGUACAUUUUGCAAGUUAGACAAGGAAUCAAGAGUUGAGAACAAUGCCAUACUAUUGGAGCAUGAGGCCAAAGGAAGAAUGUGAGCCUCUAUGUACACUUAUCAAGUUACUUAUCAUAUUCUGGAUUGAGUGGGAAAGAUCAAAAGCACUCCGUAAUCACAAAACAUGACUAUAUUUAAACUCCAUGUUCCCCCACCUACCUACACCCCAUUGUCAACCCAUAUAAACUGUGCACCAGGGGACAGUCAAGAUACCCAGGAACCACAACCUGAAUAGAAGUCACUUUCCCUGUUGAGUGUCACAAAACAAAAAAACAAAAAAUACCUAUCUUUGGGUCAACUCUUGAUACUGUGUUCAUAACGGAUUUUGGAUGUUUAUUUGGAGAUUUUAAAUGUUGC